GAUGAAGAACGUAGCGAAAUGCGAUAAGUAAUGUGAAUUGCAGAUUUCAGUGAAUCAUCGAAUCUUUGAACGCACCUUGCGCCUUGUGGUAUUCCACAAGGCAUGCCCGUUUGAGUAUCAUUAAAUCAUCAACUCUAAAACCUUUGUGGUUUUUUUUAGAGCUUGGUCUUGAGGGUUUUGCAGGCUUUUUUUUUCUUUCGAGUCUGCUCCCUUUAAAUGCAUUAGCGAGACUUCCCUAUGCUGAACCGUCUCUUUGACGUGAUAAUUAUCUGCGUCGAAUUUUGGUUCUCGUUGGGCUUGCUUCUAAUCGUCUGUUAAAGACAAAACGGAUUUGGGUGCAUAUAUGCGCCUUUUUCCAAAACCUUUUUUUGAUCUCAAAUCGGGUAGGACUACCCGCUGAACUUAAGCAUAUCAAUAAGCGGAGGA
rnacentral:misc_RNA from 1 species